rnacentral:lncRNA from 1 species
UUUCACAAUUACUCUAUUAAAUUUGAUAAUAUUAAAAACACACUCGUAAAUCUUAUAUAGAAAAUAUCACAAAUAAUCUUUUUACAACUUAGUUCCUUUAUAUUUCUACAAAAUACUAUUCUUAACCUCAACAAUUUUUUUACAUACUUUUCUUUCUCAAUCUAUAAUUGCUCACACCAAAGUCAUUAUUCGCCUCCUCCUCCC